rnacentral:rRNA from 1 species
UACGUAGGGUGCGAGCGUUGUCCGGAAUCAUUGGGCGUAAAGGGCUCGUAGGCGGUCCAUCGCGUCGGGAGUGAAACGCUGGGGCUUAACCCCAGUCCUGCUUUCGAUACGGGUGGACUAGAGGUAGGCAGGGGAGAAUGGAAUUCCUGGUGUAGCGGUGAAAUGCGCAGAUAUCAGGAGGAACACCGGUGGCGAAGGCGGUUCGCUGGGCCUAAUCUGACGCUGAGGAGCGAAAGCGUGGGGAGCAAACAGG